UCUUGCAAGAUGGUUGCUUUUCCCUUACCCUGGUAAAAGUGUGAGAGAGUUUUUCCUCAGUUUUUCUUCAGAUACUUUGAAAUGUGGUCGAGUUACUAGAUGUAAAACUCACAAAAGUAUGGCGGGGUCCCUCCUUAUGGGGGUCCCCCUGGAGUUUUUAACUCUCAGAGUUAUCCUUUGUGAAAUUCCAGCAAUUCAUUUGUUACAGUUCCGGCUUUCCUGCCCCAGUACUGAUUUCCAGGAGAUUUCAGCUUGUGAAUUUCUUCUUUGGAAAAUAAGACCUGCAAAAUGGACACCAACCCAGCCUACGACAGAGGGUCCUUGCUCUCAAGGAGCUCAGAGAACUGGAAUUCAGAAAGAGAAGGGAAAGCCACACAUACUUUAACCAGGUGUUCCUACCCUCGAACUGAUUCAUGUGGUGGUGCCUGCUCGUGAAUCUCUGCUCUGAUUGUCAAUGGGCAGACCACCUGGCAUCUGGACAUGAAUUAAGAUAUGGAUUAUAUUCAUCAGCAUUCAGUUCAUUAGCUAAGACUCUGGGAAUGUGUAGUUGACUGAAAAACCACACGGAGUAAGGAGAAAUCUUGAUGGACUUGGAAGGCAGAAGUUCUGAGUUUGAAGUCUGCCUCAGCUGAGUUUCUUUUUGCCUUUCUUUUAACUUAAAUAACUGCACUCCCUUUAAUCUCCCCACACUAUCUCUCUUAUACUACCUUCAGUGAUUCCUGAGGUUUCCACCAUAAUAUUGCGGAAUGUUAAAGAAUAAGUACCUAUGGUUUCCAAUUUAUGUUCCUGCUUGUUUCAAUGUUUAGUAAACACUUAUGAUGAGCCAGGCACUAGGCUAUGUGCUCAAAGUUAAAAGAUAAAUAAAACAAAAAUCUCUGCCUUCAAUGGAUAUUACAGAUUAUUGCAGGAAGACAGUUAAGCAAACAAAACUCUAGAGUCAUUUUGUAUUGAGAGGACACUGGGAGGAACCAAAAGAAGAGCUAUUAGCCCAUCAGGGUAUGAGGAAAUGAUGCUUGAGUUGGGCUCUGGAAAAAAAAAUAUAUAUGUCAAAGCCAAGAAGGCAAAAGCGAGUGAGAAGAACAUUCUGGAAUGAGAGGAGAGAAGCAGGAAAGGCAUUUGGCUGUGUCAUUAACCAUGUGUAUAGGGACCUUUAUGCAUAGCAGUGAAGGCACAGUUUUAAGUAUAAGGAGUUAAGUCCCAGUUUGCACUGUUGAGGAGAGAAGGGGAAGUGGUGAGGUCAAGGAAAGAUAUUUUUACCAUUUUACCAGCAAGUCUCAAGGAAGGAGGGGGCGUGACCUAGCUGAGUCACCUAGUGGGCUUUUCAAGCUGUCCUGCUCCAUCGCCUUUAAGGGCUGUGUGCCCCACCAGACUGCCUCCUAGUACAGUCAAGGCUGUACUCCUCCUACGAUGACAUGAUGCCUGUCCUUAUGGGGGGUUGUGAAAAACUGCUACGCUAUGAAUGCAAGGUGGAAAUACAUUGAAAAAGGGAGGAAGAAGAGUCUGGAAAGGAGACAGAGAAGGGUCUUAAAGGUAAGCAGCCAAGAGACUAGUUUAAAGAACGGGAAGCAGAGGGAACCAAUAAAAUGGGAGGCUAGAGGGAGGAUGGGCUUAAGUCCAUCCAUUUAAGUUCAAAGCCUUCCUAAAAAACCUGUUAGCAUCCCUGGCUUGACGAGUUUCAAACCAAUUCAUCAUUUUACCUAUAGUAAAUAGUUCAUUACUAAAGUACCAGUUACAGUCUAUCAAGAAUGCAGGUUCUUAACAUAUAGCAGGAUAUACAUUUAUAUAAAUUUAUAUAUUUUAAUGCAACCACUAAUCUAAUGUCAUCAACAAAAUCUUAGCAUUUACAUCACAACACAGGUUAUAUUCAGUGCAUUAAAAACCUAUACAACUUAACAUCAGAAAAGGAACUGAAUACAAUGUUUCCCUUAAUUUUUGGUGGCUUACAUAAUUGCAGCUAUAGAAUUUCUGCCUUAGAGAAAAUAUAAUGUUUCAAAGAAAUAUAAACUGGAUACAGACUGAUGUCCUUCAGAGAAGUCUUAAGUAUCUGGCUAUACACUUUCAGAACGGGGCAUUCCAGGCUGCCUAUGGACUGGUCUUUUCCGGGCUUAUCUCUCCUGAUCUGACGUCUCCAAAAUAACAAAGCUAUUUAUAUGGUUCUCUGAACAAAACACACUAUUUCAUAAGCCCUCUUUAGCCUUGAAUGCCUCCUUCAACUCCCUUACCUGGUCUUAUCCUUAUGGUCUCUAUCCAGGCAUUGCCUUCUCCAAAAAGCUGACAUUCCUGACCCUUCCUUCCUUGAGUGCUCCUUCAUGAUGAUGAUAACAGCAGCUAACACUUAGCCAAUACUUCAUCCUAGCCAGGCUCUGUUCUGACUCAGCUGAAUGCAACAUCAACUCAACUCUUCACAACAAUCCUCUGAUAUAGGUGACUAAUUAUAUUGCUACUUUAUAGAUAAGACAUUGAGGUCAAAAAGAGGUUAAGUAACUGACCCAAGAACAGAUCAUGGGUCACUGGUAAAGCCAAUAUUUGAACCCAAGAAGACUGGUCCUAGAGUCUGUGCUGUAAUCACUAGGCUACACUGCCCCUAGGAUUAAAGAUGAGACAUCCUUCCAUGUAAACAAAUGCUCUUGACUCUCUUGUCCAGAAUUUAUGUUCAAAGGGCUGCUGAGUUUGGAAAUGCAUUUCUCUAUAGUACUAAGUCUGUCUAUGAAUAUGAAGUAUAAGUUAACAAAUAUUUCUAAAAAGUAUAAAAUGUCUCCCAAAAAUAUUUGUUGAAAAUUAAUUUUUACAAAAACAUGUAGCUAUGUCUGGCACACCUGAAAUGUAUUAAGAUUUUUCUCAUCUCAGGAAUAGUAAAUCCUCUUUGAGUCUAAUGAAAACCCUUGGCAGUUUGAAUAUUAUAUGAUACUAAAUUAUACUAUAAUUAUUUCAAAGGUCAAAAAUCUUAAACAUUUAGUCUUAAAACCCUCUACCUGGGUGAGGCAAUCAGAAAAUUGACAUAUGUAUGAAAAUAUUUAAUUAUACAAAACAAGUAGAAAUCUGCUAAUUUAAUGAUCCUUAAAUAAAAUAUACAAUAUUUCCCCACAUGGGUAUUUUUCUUCCUCUAUUACAUAAAAGGAAGUUUUUUUUUAAAGAACCGUUUUUAAAUGAAUGUGAGCAUACAUUUUAUUUUGCAGUGCUAGUUUCAAGGAAGUGGUUUGGAAUAAAACAUUGCAUCACUUAUUAACUGGUGGGAAUCUCUAUGAAGCUAUUGUAAUAAGCACCACUGUAAAUUAAAAACAAAAUUGACUCAGUCCAGCCUCUUCAGGAAUUUACAGUCUAGUAGGGAAGGAAAAUGGGCACAGAACAUUGGUGCGAGAAUUGUUUUUAAAAUUUCAGGAGGAAGUGCUUAAAGAAGGCAGAUUACAGUAAUAAAGAGAUCCUGCCUGACCCAUAGCAAUAAUGCUGUCAACAUCCCAUGUGAUGCUAGAAGGACCAGUAAAAUACCUUUUUCUCAGAGAACUCGAAGGCAAAAAUAUCAUAGUGGCUAGGAGCAUAGACUGUGGAGCCAGAAUGAUCUGGGUUUGAAUCUCAUUUCUGUUGUGUGCCAAUUGGCUUUGGCAGAUUCACUUAACCUCUCUCUGUGCCUCAACUCUCUCAUUUAUAAUUAGUUAACAUAUAGUUCAUAGAAUUCAUGGUGCUUUGGGGAGGAUUAAGUCAGUUCACAUGAGUGAAGCAGGUAGACCAGUACCUGGUACAGAGAAUGACCCUACAUAACUAAUUCUAGGAAUCAACAUAGCUUAAAAAGAGAAUCUGAUGGAACACAUGUCUAUUGUACUGAGGCUUUAAAUAACCCACAGUUAAAGACAUAUGAAAAGAUGUCACCAACCCACUGACUCAAUUACGUGACUGGGUCAAUCCUUACCUUUGUAUAGGCAAUGGACCCACAUCCUAGCAAUGUUUUCCAAACUCGGUAAGCAAAGCAGCCCUUAGAGUCCUUAAUGAAACACCAUGAAAUGGUUAUGCAUUUAAUUACAUCAUCUGAACCAGAAAAAUGUUUCUCUAGCUCUCAUUAUUUUUUAUGUGCCAUAUAAAAAUCAUAACCACAAACACCAUUGAUAAAAAAAAAAAAAAAAAAAAAAA